ACAGUUACAGGGUGUCAGUUCAAGUCGUCCAAAAACAAAUUAAGUUCUAUUAAUUAAAGUAUAUAUUAUAUAAAUAACAAUGUGAUGUAUCGUGAAGUUGCGCAACAAAAUUACUUCUGUAAAUAAAUAUCGCCCUUCAAAUGUGCGUCACACCACGUGGGGUGCAGUUUCCAUGCCGCGUUCACGUCAUGUCGGAAACUUCCAAGUGCGAAAUCUGGUAGUCUUUACGAGUAAUCAAGUCGGAAGUUUCAGACGUGAACGCGGCAACUAGCAACUAGCUAGGCCGAUAACCACGAGGACUGCCGCGCGCCUUUUCCUGUAGUUAUCAUACUGUGUACAAACGUUCAGUUAGUGUUGUAACAUAAAAACCGUUGGAAACAGUCAGUCGAAUGUCUUUCAAACAGCCUGCAUUGCAAAUGACCAAACUCGACCGACAUAUACAACACAAAGGUUGACCGGCUAGCUAAUUAACGUUAACACACUGUUCGAUACACUUAGUUAGCUAGCCUACUUAGCUAGGUUAGAUAAACAGGCGAAGUAAAUUGGGAUGAUAAUGUUAAGACAUUGCAGUGACUCAAGCUAGUUAGUUCAGAUGCCAUCUUUUGGAAGGAAAAGAGCCACGCUGGUUUACAGAGACCUGACUAGAGGCGUGAUAGCAUGUACACCCCUGCCAUCAACUUGGAUCGGUGAGAAAGUUGCUCUGUUCCGUUCUGUUGAACUUAAUUUAACCAGGAUAGUCCACUCAGUAACAAUUGUGAGAGCCGGUUCCAUCUGCAGUAGAAGUUGUGCCCAGCUGCAGUGAUGCACCUCCUCCACCAGCAUCAAAAAAAGGAAGGCAGUGGAUGUUGAGGCCUGGAAGGGGUUGAGGGAGCUACUCCACAUGCCUGCAGUGGAGCUGGAAUGUCCUCCACCCAACGCCAUCUGCAUUGUGUGUAGAGUUUUAGAGGAGGCUGAGCUAUGGCGCUGUGGGGAUUGUGGCUCAGAUAAAUAUUUCUGUGCCACCUGUGCUGUGAGAACACACAGCACUCCAAACCCAAAACCCAGAAACUGGACAUAACUGGUGUGUUUGGAAUGGCGUGCAGGCACGAGCAUCCGCUGAAGUUCCUGAACCUGAAGAAAGGAGAGAAGCUUGCAAAUGCUGUGUUCCUGCUGGGGGACCUGAAAGCAAUGCAGGGACCAAACAUCACAACGUUUCUUCACUAUGACAUUGAAUGCCAGCUGAAGCCUCAUUUACAGAAAAACAGUCCCGAUCUGAUAGUGGACACCACAUUUGCAGUGCAGGCCUUUCAUGCCUAUGCUCAUGAUGCUGACUGUCAGGUCACUGAUGGUACCAGGUAUGUGACUGGUAGUGGGCUGACGGAGAACAGAUGGAGAGGUUGUGGUCCUACCUUACAACAUUUGGGAAGAUCACAAAAGAGAUGACACCAUCUCAUCGUGUUGACACCCUCACCGAUGCCCUCCUCUACUACGCAGCCAGGGUCAGAGAGAAGCAAGUAGCCGGACGCCGCUCUGGUCUGGUGGAAGUGUCACCGCCGUGUAGACUCUCCACAGACGGCACUCUGCCGGCACUCUGCAGGGAUCCUUCCCCUGAAGGGGUCUCCCCCUUCCCUGGAGAACGGAGCUAGUAGGAUGCUCCUGAAUGACUUGGGGAUGAAGAGUAGCGGCCUCCACCGGAUGGAACGAGUUGGCUGUGGUCACCGUUUUCCGCAGCGGACUGCAGAAGGAGGUACAAGCAUGCCGUCGGCCAUGCAAACCGUGGAGGCUCUUCACCUCAUGCAUUUGGAAAGCGUUCAUGGAACGCCUGGGGGUCACGGUCAGUCUCACCUCUGGGUACCGUCCUCAAGCUAAUGGGAAGGUG